UACGUAGGGUGCGAGCGUUAAUCGGAAUUACUGGGCGUAAAGCGUGCGCAGGCGGUUCGUUGUGUCGGCGGUGAAAGCCCCGGGCUCAACCUGGGAAUGGCCCGUUGAAACUGGCGAACUGGAGUGUGGCAGAGGGGGGGUGGAAUUCCGCGUGUAGCAGUGAAAUGCGUUAGAGAUGCGGAGGAACACCCGAUGGCGAAAGGGCAGCCCCCCCUGGGGCUGACACUGACGCUCAGGCACGAAAGCGUGGGGGAGCAAACAGG
rnacentral:rRNA from 1 species